rnacentral:rRNA from 1 species
AGGACGAACGCUGGCGGCGUGCUUAACACAUGCAAGUCGAACGAUGAUGCCCAGCUUGCUGGGUGGAUUAGUGGCGAACGGGUGAGUAACACGUGAGUAACCUGCCCUUGACUUCGGGAUAACUCCGGGAAACCGGGGCUAAUACCGGAUAUGAGCUACCUUCGCAUGGGGGUGGUUGGAAAGUUUUUCGGUCAGGGAUGGGCUCGCGGCCUAUCAGCUUGUUGGUGGGGUGAUGGCCUACCAAGGCGACGACGGGUAGCCGGCCUGAGAGGGCGACCGGCCACACUGGGACUGAGACACGGCCCAGACUCCUACGGGAGGCAGCAGUGGGGAAUAUUGCACAAUGGGCGAAAGCCUGAUGCAGCGACGCCGCGUGAGGGAUGAAGGCCUUCGGGUUGUAAACCUCUUUCAGCAGGGAAGAAGCGCAAGUGACGGUACCUGCAGAAGAAGCGCCGGCUAACUACGUGCCAGCAGCCGCGGUAAUACGUAGGGCGCAAGCGUUGUCCGGAAUUAUUGGGCGUAAAGAGCUCGUAGGCGGUCUGUCGCGUCUGGUGUGAAAACUCGAGGCUCAACCUCGAGCUUGCAUCGGGUACGGGCAGACUAGAGUGCGGUAGGGGAGACUGGAAUUCCUGGUGUAGCGGUGGAAUGCGCAGAUAUCAGGAGGAACACCGAUGGCGAAGGCAGGUCUCUGGGCCGCAACUGACGCUGAGGAGCGAAAGCAUGGGGAGCGAACAGGAUUAGAUACCCUGGUAGUCCAUGCCG